AAAAAGACAAAGUCUGGGUUUCCGUGUCCAACUUUAACUGUCCGUCUUAUAUGAAAUUUUUUUAUAAUUCGUAUUUUUAUUGUGGUUAGAUGAUAAAACAUGAUUAAUAUUUUAUGCGUGACUUGUCUUUUUAAUUUUUUAUAAUUUUUUUAAAUAAAAUGGGCGGUCAAACGUUGGAUAUGAAAACUAGGGUUUGUCUUUUU
rfam:Oryza sativa (indica cultivar-group) chromosome 3, whole genome shotgun sequence.